rnacentral:rRNA from 1 species
UACAGAGGUCUCAAGCGUUGUUCGGAUUCAUUGGGCGUAAAGGGUGCGUAGGCGGCGAGGCAAGUCUGGUGUGAAAUCCCGGGGCUCAACCCCGGAACUGCACUGGAUACUGCUUUGCUAGAGUACUGGAGAGGGAACUGGAAUUUACGGUGUAGCAGUGAAAUGCGUAGAUAUCGUAAGGAAGACCAGCGGCGAAGGCGAGUUCCUGGACAGUUACUGACGCUGAGGCACGAAGGCCAGGGGAGCAAACGGGAUUAGAAACCCCCGUAGUCC